CUCUCCUGUUUCUCUUCUCUCGAUUCCCCAAGCCAAAGCUAGCCGCCGCCGACUCCCCAACCCCGGCCUCCACUCCAUCGCCGGCGGCCUCUCCCCCUUUCUCCCUGGACGCAUAUCCACUUGAGCAGCACAGCCCACGGUCAGAUCUGCCCCUCCGUCCUCGCGCCAGAAACCCUAGUCGUCCGACCAUCGUGACUGACCGCAGGCACAUACCUCGACGACGGUGGCGCCACGGAGCGGAGCUUCCUCUGCCCGGGACGCCGCUCAUGUGCUCGUCAAGGUCCGCUGCUCCUUCCUCCAGUCCCAGUCCCAGGAUAAGCAGCAGUAGCAUGAUGGUACGACCCUCUCUCUUGAUUUCCUCUUAUUCCCUCCCUUUCCUUUCCCUAAGGCAGGGGAUUUGCUUUCCUUGGUAGGUGCACGCAUCUCCUCCUCCCUGCCAUUUUGUUUUGUUGCUCCAUGAGCAGAUACCUUUCUAUAGUAGAGAUCUAAUAAGCUUCUGUUGAUUUUUUUAGAGGAAAAAGGUUACAUUUGCUUGACCAUAUGUAUCCUUUUAGUGAAGUUUGUAACAGGCUAUUCAAGCAGGAGUAUGUGUAGACAUAUUUGCUGUAACUGAUGAAUACACCGAUUUGGCUUCGUCGAAGUUUUAAAGUAUUGAAAGUGGUGGCUCAUUAUUUCUCUAUGCAAACUCGGAUGAUUCAACACUUCACCAGGACAUGUAUUGCCUAUUGAGUAGACCCUAUGCAUUUGGUUGUGUUCUCAAGAUGAGAACAUCGCAAGGUUUUGAUCCUGGCCACUCUUAUGGCCAUUUCUUCCUUGAUCCUCAAUAUGAAAAUGUGCAACAUAUUAACUGCUGUGAGUCAAUUCAGAUUAUCAUAGAUGUUACACAAAAAUACAUGAGUUCAUGGGGGAGCACGUCAACAAGGCUGCUGCAUGAGUUCAUGUCGUCGGCAGUGGCUCGCUCGUCAACAAGGCUGAUGAAAUCAGGGGGAGCACGAGCGGGUGCCAAAGGUGUCCGAUCGAACUCAGUUGGAGGUCAAACAGGUUCAUCUCUCGGGCAUGCCACCAAUAACGCUCGAUGACACCGAUGCGCAGACUAUAAGUUUACCCCCUCAGCCCUGAUAUAUUGGUGUGAGACACCCUGCAUUUACAUGAUAUUGCUAGGAACGCGUGCAAAUUUCAUAAUUUGUUAUACAUGCUGCUUAACUUGAUCACCGGUGUGCUGUUAAUUGGAACUCAAGAGAAUAGAGAUGACACCUUACCAUAGGCAACUCUUAAUUAUGUGCGCGUUAAUUCAAUUCUGAAAGUUGAUUCAAGUCUGUAGUGAUUGAAGUAGAUUCAUAGAAGCAAUUCCGUUAGUAUGUGAACAAAAAGCUCAUCUUAUAUGUGUGACCGGAGUUGCAGAAUAUGAAUAGGGGAAUGAUCAUAGAUGCCAACACCUACAACGUGAUUUAUCUUGAUAGAGGUGCAAUGGAUUCGUAAGUAGUUUUGAUGUUUUUUCUAGAUAGCUCAAGUACUUAAGCUUCUGCAUUCAUGAAAAACAAAAGAAGGGACUAGUAGUCAGGUUCCAUUAAUCCUUCUAUAGGUGUUCUCUUUGAUGCCUUUCCCCCUUCAUUACUAGUAAAUGAUGAUUUCUCUAUUAACCUUCUCGGUGGAGUUGGGCACUGUGCUCUUGACCUUGAAAGUGUAUUUGCAACUUUACUCAUAAUACCUUUGCGUGAUAGUAAUACUUUUGUGUGAUAGUGAGGCAAUUUAGUUGCAUGCCUUCAGUCACAAAAAAAGUCCUCGAAAUAAAAACGAAAGAAAAAGUAACAAGAGUUGUUGAAAAUACGAAUGGGUCAUCAAUGGCCAUAGAACAGGAGAGCAAUUUGAAUGGACAAUGGAAACAUGAGUAAAAGAAGCAGCUAAACGGAGGCCGCUCGCCCAGAGUGUCUCGGAGGAGGAUGACAGUGCCACUGGAUUGGCGGAUGACUACUUCUAGGUGGCGUAUGGAUGUCGUACUGUAUGGAUCUUGAUUGGAUAGUUCCUGACCUCAUUCUAGGAGGCUGAUUGGAGCCUGGUACUUCACUUUUCUCCUUACUGAUAAAUGCUCCUGUUCAUUAAUUUGGUAAUGCUCAUGACAUUGCACGUGAGUUGCUGCGAGCCAAGCGAUAGAAAAGUUUGAAACUAAUGUUGCAGAUGAUGUUUCUUUUUUUUCUUCUUCAUGACAUUUUUUUGGGUUCAGCAUGUUGAUAAGAACUACUCCCUCUGUUUCCAAAUAAAGUCUUUUUAGAGAUUUCAAUUUGGACUAGAUACGAAUGUAUAUAGACGGAUUUUAGAGUGAGCUUCACCCAUUUCCACUGUAUGUAGUCCAUAUUGAAAUCUUCUAACAAGACUUAUAUUUAGGAACGGAGGGAGUACUUUGUUUGUAGUCUUUGUAUAACCUGCUUUGUUCAGAAGAAUAUUCUAUCAGGCAACCAUUUCUGAUAUGUUCACAUGACUUUUUUCAUGUGGCCGUUCCUCACAUUCCUUUGCUUGCAACUAUUCCAGCCAGCUGCAAUGAAGUCCUCCAUAGAGAAGGGUUUGCGGAAAAUGAUCUUGGCAUCCCAGAUAAGCAGGUUGGAGUCAAAGCCAGUGCCGAGGGGGAUUUCAAUGGAUCACCAACACGAGAAAUUGAAAUGGCAGGACCAGAAAAGAUGGUCCCAGGUCUCACUGCAGCCGGAUGUGCAAGAACACAUCAAUGAUCAUCUGUGAGACUAACACUGAAAUUUUGUCGAUGGAGCAUUACCUAUGUUAUUUAGCUUCUAGAGUACAAUGACUUGUACGUACAACUAUAACAGCUAGCAGCAUGGUUUAUCCCCUUCUGGUUCUACUAUUUCUCUAGAGUGAUGGCAUAGGAAGAGCAUGUGUAUAUGUUGAGGUUAGUCUUCUGAAACUAAUGCUGCAGAUGUUCUUUGUAGACUCAGCAUGUGUGUUUAUUUUAUUUUUACUUCUUUGUGA